rnacentral:rRNA from 1 species
UUAAGUUAUUAAGGGCGCACGGUGGAUGCCUUGGCACUAGAAGCCGAUGAAGGACGUUACUAACGACGAUAUGCUUUGGGGAGCUGUAAGUAAGCUUUGAUCCAGAGAUUUCCGAAUGGGGAAACCCACCAUGAGUUAUGUCAUGUUAUCGAUAUGUGAAUACAUAGCAUAUCAGAAGGCACACCCGGAGAACUGAAACAUCUUAGUACCCGGAGGAAGAGAAAGAAAAUUCGAUUCCCUUAGUAGCGGCGAGCGAAACGGGAAGAGCCCAAACCAAAAAGCUUGCUUGUUGGGGUUGUAGGACACUCUAUACGGAGUUACAAAGGACGACAUUAGACGAAUCAUCUGGAAAGAUGAAUCAAAGAAGGUAAUAAUCCUGUAGUCGAAAAUGUUGUCUCUCUUGAGUGGAUCCUGAGUACGACGGAGCACGUGAAAUUCCGUCGGAAUCUGGGAGGACCAUCUCCUAAGGCUAAAUACUCUCUAGUGACCGAUAGUGAACCAGUACCGUGAGGGAAAGGUGAAAAGCACCCCGGAAGGGGAGUGAAAUAGAACCUGAAACCGUGUGCUUACAAGUAGUCAGAGCCCGUUAAUGGGUGAUGGCGUGCCUUUUGUAGAAUGAACCGGCGAGUUACGAUUUGAUGCAAGGUUAAGCAGUAAAUGUGGAGCCGUAGCGAAAGCGAGUCUGAAUAGGGCGUUUAGUAUUUGGUCGUAGACCCGAAACCAGGUGAUCUACCCUUGGUCAGGUUGAAGUUCAGGUAACACUGAAUGGAGGACCGAACCGACUUACGUUGAAAAGUGAGCGGAUGAACUGAGGGUAGCGGAGAAAUUCCAAUCGAACCUGGAGAUAGCUGGUUCUCUCCGAAAUAGCUUUAGGGCUAGCCUCAAGUGAUGAUUAUUGGAGGUAGAGCACUGUUUGGACGAGGGGCCCCUCUCGGGUUACCGAAUUCAGACAAACUCCGAAUGCCAAUUAAUUUAACUUGGGAGUCAGAACAUGGGUGAUAAGGUCCGUGUUCGAAAGGGAAACAGCCCAGACCACCAGCUAAGGUCCCAAAAUAUAUGUUAAGUGGAAAAGGAUGUGGCGUUGCCCAGACAACUAGGAUGUUGGCUUAGAAGCAGCCAUCAUUUAAAGAGUGCGUAAUAGCUCACUAGUCGAGUGACACUGCGCCGAAAAUGUACCGGGGCUAAACAUAUUACCGAAGCUGUGGAUUGUCCUUUGGACAAUGGUAGGAGAGCGUUCUAAGGGCGUUGAAGCAUGAUCGUAAGGACAUGUGGAGCGCUUAGAAGUGAGAAUGCCGGUGUGAGUAGCGAAAGACGGGUGAGAAUCCCGUCCACCGAUUGACUAAGGUUUCCAGAGGAAGGCUCGUCCGCUCUGGGUUAGUCGGGUCCUAAGCUGAGGCCGACAGGCGUAGGCGAUGGAUAACAGGUUGAUAUUCCUGUACCACCUAUAAUCGUUUUAAUCGAUGGGGGGACGCAGUAGGAUAGGCGAAGCGUGCGAUUGGAUUGCACGUCUAAGCAGUAAGGCUGAGUAUUAGGCAAAUCCGGUACUCGUUAAGGCUGAGCUGUGAUGGGGAGAAGACAUUGUGUCUUCGAGUCGUUGAUUUCACACUGCCGAGAAAAGCCUCUAGAUAGAAAAUAGGUGCCCGUACCGCAAACCGACACAGGUAGUCAAGAUGAGAAUUCUAAGGUGAGCGAGCGAACUCUCGUUAAGGAACUCGGCAAAAUGACCCCGUAACUUCGGGAGAAGGGGUGCUCUUUAGGGUUAACGCCCAGAAGAGCCGCAGUGAAUAGGCCCAAGCGACUGUUUAUCAAAAACACAGGUCUCUGCUAAACCGUAAGGUGAUGUAUAGGGGCUGACGCCUGCCCGGUGCUGGAAGGUUAAGAGGAGUGGUUAGCUUCUGCGAAGCUACGAAUCGAAGCCCCAGUAAACGGCGGCCGUAACUAUAACGGUCCUAAGGUAGCGAAAUUCCUUGUCGGGUAAGUUCCGACCCGCACGAAAGGCGUAACGAUUUGGGCACUGUCUCAACGAGAGACUCGGUGAAAUCAUAGUACCUGUGAAGAUGCAGGUUACCCGCGACAGGACGGAAAGACCCCGUGGAGCUUUACUGUAGCCUGAUAUUGAAAUUCGGCACAGCUUGUACAGGAUAGGUAGGAGCCUUUGAAACGUGAGCGCUAGCUUACGUGGAGGCGCUGGUGGGAUACUACCCUAGCUGUGUUGGCUUUCUAACCCGCACCACUUAUCGUGGUGGGAGACAGUGUCAGGCGGGCAGUUUGACUGGGGCGGUCGCCUCCUAAAAGGUAACGGAGGCGCUCAAAGGUUCCCUCAGAAUGGUUGGAAAUCAUUCAUAGAGUGUAAAGGCAUAAGGGAGCUUGACUGCGAGACCUACAAGUCGAGCAGGGUCGAAAGACGGACUUAGUGAUCCGGUGGUUCCGCAUGGAAGGGCCAUCGCUCAACGGAUAAAAGCUACCCCGGGGAUAACAGGCUUAUCUCCCCCAAGAGUUCACAUCGACGGGGAGGUUUGGCACCUCGAUGUCGGCUCAUCGCAUCCUGGGGCUGUAGUCGGUCCCAAGGGUUGGGCUGUUCGCCCAUUAAAGCGGUACGCGAGCUGGGUUCAGAACGUCGUGAGACAGUUCGGUCCCUAUCCGUCGUGGGCGUAGGAAAUUUGAGAGGAGCUGUCCUUAGUACGAGAGGACCGGGAUGGACAUACCUCUGGUGUACCAGUUGUCGUGCCAACGGCAUAGCUGGGUAGCUAUGUGUGGACGGGAUAAGUGCUGAAAGCAUCUAAGCAUGAAGCCCCCCUCAAGAUGAGAUUUCCCAACUUCGGUUAUAAGAUCCCUCAAAGAUGAUGAGGUUAAUAGGUUCGAGGUGGAAGCAUGGUGACAUGUGGAGCUGACGAAUACUAAUCGAUCGAAGACUUAAUCAA